GGUGCCUUAUAAAAAAUAAGGUGGCACAGAAUCGGAGGCCCCGACUGUUUACUAAAAACACAACACAGUGCAAUCAUAAAUAUGGUAGUAUACUGUGUGAAAUUUGCCCGAUGCCAUUAAUAUAAGAAAAGUUAUGGUUUUGUUUAAUAACAAUACUGUGACCUAUCGAAAUUCUGGUUAAUAGCGGUCUUAACCAUGAGGAUCCUAAGGUAGCAAAAUCAAUUGGCCAUUAAAUGUGGUCCGGUAUCAAUAAUGUAACGAUGGUCUCACUGUCUCUACAACUUGCUCAGUGAAAUUGAAUUACGCGUGCAGAUGCGCGUUGCCUCCAGGGGAA
rnacentral:rRNA from 1 species